GGGGAUGUGGCUUAGUGGUAAAGCGCUCGCUUAGCAUGCGAGAGGUCCUGGGUUCGAUUCCCAGCAUCUCCA